rnacentral:rRNA from 1 species
CCUACGGGUGACUGCAGUGGGGAAUAUUGGGCAAUGGGCGCAAGCCUGACCCAGCAACGCCGCGUGAAGGAAGAAGGCGUUCGGGGUGUAAAAUUCUUUUGACAGGGACGAAGCAAGAGACGGGACUGGACGAAUAAGCCACGGCUAACUACGGGCCAGCAGCCGCGGUAAGACGUAGGUGGCAAGCGUUAGCCGGAUUUAAUGGGUGUAAAGGGCGAGUAGGCGGGACGGCAAGUCAGAUGGGAAAACCACGGGCUCAACCUUUGGCCUGCAUUUGAAACUGUAGUUCUUGAGUACUGUGGAGGCAGGCUGACUUCCUCGUGUAGCGGUGAAAUGCUUAGAUAUUAGGAGGAACCCCAGUGGCGAAGGCGGUCUACUGGACUGCAACUGCCGCUGAUGCGCGACAGCGUGGGUAGCAAACAGGAUUAGAUACCCCUGUAGUC